UCUAUUAUACUAAAGGAAAGUUGUCAUUCACAACUUUUCCCGCCUAAACAAUCAUCUAUUUUUUUUUUUUUCAAAAAAGUUGUCCAAAUUAAUAGUCCUUUCGGAUUUCCCAUAAUUGUGUAAUUUCUUGAAUCUUUUCAUAUUCUCCAUUAACUUAUUUAAUUUGAUGAUAUUCAUCUCUCUUUCUUUAACCCUCUCUCCUAAAUCUUGCUAUUGUUCCUCUCUCUCUCAGAUUUAGCUGACUACUCCCUCAUCUCUUUCAAUUCAUCUUUCCUUUCAGAUUCCAUCACUUUCUUCCUAUAUUUUUCCUCUGCAAGAAUCGGCCUUCACCCUCUUUCUUUCUUCUAGAUCUGGUUCUGGCCUUCUUCCUCUCUCUUUCUUCUAAAUUCGACUCCAACUUUCUCUUCCCUAUCUCUCAUUUCCUUCAUCGACGUGCCUUUCCUUCAUUGAGUGAAAAUCAUAUGAAUAGGUUUUUGCCCUGAUAAAAAUCCUCGGACACCAUAGAAAACGUCAACAGCGAAGGUAUCUCGCCGGACCAGCAGGACUCAUCUUCGCUGGGAAACAGCUCGAACACGGCCGCACCCUCGCCGACUACAACACGCACCGGCGAUUUCUCUAUCUUUCUCCGUGUGCUUGAUUUUUGCCUCAUCUGAGAAUAAAUCACAAAGGGUGUUAGUGUUAGGGUUUUUGGCGCUGCUUCUCAUAUAAAAAGCUCAUAAAGGCCGCCCAUCGUUCAACAACUCCAGCCUUUGUUUCCUUGCUGCUUCUCCCUCUUCAGGUGCUUGGUUUUUUGGUAGUAUUUCUUGAGUGCUAAGAAGACUCAGCAAAUAUGCAGAAUGAGGAGGGGCAAAACAUAGAUCUCUAUAUCCCAAGGAAGUGACGCUUGAAGGACUCAUCCCAAGAAGGAAGGACUGAAAAUGCAGGGUGAGAGUGAUCAAGACGCUAGGAGUUAAGCAAGCUAAUAAAAAUCCUAAAAAAUUUAUGAAACUAAUCCUGGGUGCUGGCUUGGUAAGUUAAUGAGUAUUCCUUACAUUUAAAAAAGGUGAUAUUUAGCAGUUUUUUGUUAUUUUUAGGAACACACAUUUUGAUAUUCUUUGUAUACAUCAC